rnacentral:rRNA from 1 species
CCUGAGAAACCCAAAAGAUCGAAUGGGGAGAUUCAUCGUCAGCUCAUUUUAUAUAUAUGCAAGUUAUGAUAUGGGUUACUUUUACACCUUGUGUGUAUUAUGUAUUGCCUGUACAUUCUUGUGUAUUUAAUUGUAAGAUGUGGUCGGCGUGCACUUCUCCCCUAGUAGGACAUCGCGACCCGUUGAGUUUUGUUGGUCUACGGCCCAAGUGGAUGCUUUUAAUGAAUGUUUUCCAUAAUAUUUAUUGAAAACCCUUGGUGUCUCCUGACUGGCACUCGUCGGUAAUCGCACAUGGUAUUGAGCCGCAUAUAUUUUUUGAUAUGCGUUCCUAUCUGUCGCAAGCGAGGUUAAUAAAUAUAAAUUACUGAUAGUACGGACUUAGUGCCGUCGUUGGUAUUAAUCAGCUGUUGGUUGUACAGAAUUCUAGAACUGGCUCUUUAUUUUUUCUUUUUUAAAGAAAAAAAAUACUUGUCAGCGAUGCUACUGCUUUGGGUACUUUCAGGACCCGUCUUGAAACACGGACCAAGGAGUCUAACAUGUACGCGAGUCAUUGGGAUUUUUAAAAAUUAAACCUAAAGGCGUAAUGAAAGUAAAUGUCGUCCUUGUGUCGAUUAAGGGAGGAUGGGCUAUGGAUUAUAUUUUAUAAUUAUAUAGCCUCGCACUCUCGGGGCGUCUCAUUCUCAUUGCGAGAAAGAGGCA